rnacentral:rRNA from 1 species
CCCUUAGAUGUUCUGGGCCGCACGCGCGCUACACUGACGGAGGCAGCGAGCAUGUCCUUCGCCGAGAGGUGUGGGGAAUCUUGUGAGUCUCCGUCGUGCUGGGGAUAGAUGGUUGCAAUUGUCGAUCUUGAACGAGGAAUUCCUUGUAAUUGUAAUUCAUUAUAUUGUAAUGAAUACGUCCCUGCCCUUUGUACACACUGCCCGUCGCUCCUACCGAUUGAACGAUCCGGUGAAUUAUUUGGAGUAGCUCUGGAAGUUGCAGAACUUCCUAUGUCACGAAAUUUUGUAAACCUUAUCGUUUAGAGGAAGGAAAAGUCGUAACA